rnacentral:rRNA from 1 species
GUCUACAGCCAUGCUACCCUGACUGUGCCUGAUCUCAUCUGAUCUCAAAAGCUAAGCAGGGUUGGGCCUGGUUAGUACUUGGAUGGGAGACCACCUAGGAAGACCAGGUGCUGUAGGCA